UACGGAGGGUGCAAGCGUUAUCCGGAUUCACUGGGUUUAAAGGGUGCGUAGGUGGGCAAGUAAGUCAGUGGUGAAAUCUCCGGGCUUAACCCGGAAACUGCCAUUGAUACUAUUUGUCUUGAAUACUGUGGAGGUCAGCGGAAUAUGUCAUGUAGCGGUGAAAUGCUUAGAUAUGACAUAGAACACCAAUUGCGAAGGCAGCUGGCUACACAAAUAUUGACACUGAGGCACGAAAGCGUGGGGAGCGAACCGG
rnacentral:rRNA from 1 species